rnacentral:rRNA from 1 species
UACGAAGGGUGCAAGCGUUGUUCGGAAUUACUGGGCGUAAAGCGCACGUAGGCUGCGAGGAAAGUUGGGUGUGAAAGCCCUGGGCUCAACCCAGGAAGUGCAUUCAAAACUACCUUGCUUGAAUCUCGGAGGGGGUCAGAGAAUUCCCGGUGUAGAGGUGAAAUUCGUAGAUAUCGGGAGGAAUACCAGUGGCGAAGGCGCUGACCUGGACGAAGAUUGACGCUGAGGCGGCGAAAGCGUGGGGAGCAAACAGG